rnacentral:rRNA from 1 species
GACGAACGCUGGCGGCAUGCUUAACACAUGCAAGUCGAACGCGCCUGUCCUCUGGGUUUCUGGGGGGUGGGUGAGUGGCGAACGGGUGAGUAACACGUGAGUAACCUGCCCCCUUCUUCGGGAUAACGGUCUGAAAGGGCUGCUAAUACCGGGUAUUCACUGGUCUCCGCAUGGGGUCUGGUGGAAAGGUUUUUUUCUGGUGGGGGAUGGGCUCGCGGCCUAUCAGCUUGUUGGUGGGGUGAUGGCCCACCAAGGCUUUGACGGGUAGCCGGCCUGAGAGGGUGACCGGUCACAUUGGGACUGAGAUACGGCCCAGACUCCUACGGGAGGCAGCAGUGGGGAAGAUUGCACAAUGGGCGCAAGCCUGAUGCAGCGACGCCGCGUGAGGGAUGGAGGCCUUCGGGUUGUGAACCUCUUUCGCCCGUGGUCAAGCCGCGACGUGGGUCGUGGUGAGGGUAGUGGGUAAAGAAGCGCCGGCUAACUACGUG